rnacentral:rRNA from 1 species
UUUGGAAGUAAAAGUCGUAACAAGGUCUCCGUAGGUGAACCUGCGGAGGGAUCAUUACUGAGUGAGGGCCUUCGGGCUCGACCUCCAACCCUUUGUGAACACAACUUGUUGCUUCGGGGGCGACCCUGCCGUUUCGACGGCGAGCGCCCCCGGAGGCCUUCAAACACUGCAUCUUUGCGUCGGAGUUUAAGUAAAUUAAACAAAACUUUCAACAACGGAUCUCUUGGUUCUGGCAUCGAUGAAGAACGCAGCGAAAUGCGAUAAGUAAUGUGAAUUGCAGAAUUCAGUGAAUCAUCGAAUCUUUGAACGCACAUUGCGCCCCUUGGUAUUCCGAGGGGCAUGCCUGUUCGAGCGUCAUUUCACCACUCAAGCCUCGCUUGGUAUUGGGCGCCGCGGUGUUCCGCGCGCCUCAAAGUCUCCGGCUGAGCUGUCCGUCUCUAAGCGUUGUGAUUUCAUUAAUCGCUUCGGAGCGCGGGCGGUCGCGGCCGUUAAAUCUUUUAUAAGGUUGACCUCGGAUCAGGUAGGGAUACCCGCUGAACUUAAGCAUAUCAAUAAGCGGAGGAAA